UACGUAGGUGGCAAGCGUUGUCCGGAAUUAUUGGGCGUAAAGCGCGCGCAGGCGGUCCUUUAAGUCUGAUGUGAAAGCCCACGGCUCAACCGUGGAGGGUCAUUGGAAACUGGGGGACUUGAGUACAGAAGAGAAGAGUGGAAUUCCUGGUGUAGCGGUGAAAUGCGCAGAUAUCAGGAAGAACACCCGUGGCUAAGGCGGCUCUCUAGUACGGUACUGACGCUGAAACGCGAAAGCGUGGGGAGCGAACAGG
rnacentral:rRNA from 1 species